GAUGAAGAACGCAGCGAAAUGCGAUAAGUAGUGUGAAUUGCAGAAUUCAGUGAAUCAUCGAAUCUUUGAACGCACCUUGCGCCCUUUGGCUAUUCCGAAGGGCAUGCCUGUUUGAGUAUCAUGAACACCUCAACUCUCAUGGUUUGCCAUGAUGAGCUUGGACUUUGGGGGUCUUGCCGGCCUAUGGGUCGGCUCCUCUCAAAUUAAUCAGCUUGCCAGUGUUUGGUGGCAUCACAGGUGUGAUAACUAUCUACGCUUGUGGUUUUCCAUCAGGUAACCUUCAGUGAUGGAGGUUCGCUGGGGCUCAUAAAUGUCUCUCCUCAGUGAGGACAGCUUUUUUGAACGUUUGAUCUCAAAUCAGGUAGGACUACCCGCUGAACUUAAGCAUAUCAAUAAGCGGAGGA
rnacentral:misc_RNA from 1 species